CGGAGGGCUAGUUGCCCUUCGCGCGAUUAAUUGGCGAUCCGGAGCGCAAAGGACUGACUCGGGCCUGCGUGCAUUACACACAAGUGAAACCUACUUCCACCUGUGCAGGAUUUUGGCAAGAGGGCUGAUGAUUAUACAAAGAGUGGUGUUGGGUUCACGCCCUGGUGUCAAUGGAGAGCCAGUUGCAGGAAACUUUCGUACGGAGGAAGCUACCCUACCGGAUAAAAUUGCUGAGGGUCAAGUCAAAGUUCGUACACUUUAUCUGUCUGUUGACCCUUACAUGCGAUGUCGUAUGAAUGAAGACUCUGGUUCUGAGUACCUCCAGUCCUGGAAGUUGUCUGAAGUCACUGAUGGUGGGGGAAUUGGUUCUGUGGAGGAAAGCAAAGAUGCCCGUUUUGCUGCAGGAGACGUUGUAACUUCCUUCAACUGGCCCUGGCAGACAAAGGCCAUUCUAGAUGGGAAGCAGCUUGAGAAGAUUGAUCCACAGCUUGUAGACGGUCAUCUUUCCCAUUUUCUGGGUGCAGCUGGCUUGACUGGGCUGACAUCUUUGCUAGGAAUAAGAGAGAAAGGACAUGUGUCUCCAGGUGCCAAUCAAACUAUGGUGGUCAGUGGGGCUGCUGGUGCUUGUGGUUCAUUGGCUGGGCAGAUAGGUUCCCUGGAGGGCUGUUCCAGAGUGGUUGGUAUCUGUGGCACCGACGAAAAAUGCUCUAUUCUGGUGUCAGAAAUGGGGUUUGAUGCAGCUAUCAACUAUAAGAAAGAGGAUGUGGCACAACGGCUGCACGAGCUCUGCCCGGCGGGAGUGGAUGUGUACUUUGACAAUGUUGGUGGAGACAUCAGUGAUACAGUGAUCAGUCAAAUGAAUCCAAAUAGCCAUAUUAUUUUAUGCGGCCAGAUCUCCCAGUACAACAAGGAUGUGCCUUACCCCCCUCCUCUGCCUCCUGCAAUAGAAGAAAUAAGGAAAGUGCGAAAUAUCACAAGGGAAAGAUUUCUAGUUCUGAACUACGCGGAGAAAUUUGCAGCUAGUACUAUGCAGCUCUGCCAAUGGAUCAAAGAGGGAAAACUGAAGGUAUGACACAAAUCUGAAGGCUAAAGAGACUGUAGUAAAAGGCUUAGAAAACAUUGGAGCUGCUUUCCAGUCUAUGAUGAGCGGGGGCAACAUCGGGAAACAAAUAGUGCUUGUUUCUGAGUAAAUGAGUCAUCGUACUGUUUCCUGAGUGUCAACUAUGAAGAAAAAGCACCUUAUAUUUGCAAAAGUUUGGCACUAUAUUCUCCUUGGAUAGGUUCUCCCGUUGCAUGACCAGAAACAGAUUCCUAGUUUCGUAUUCUCAUUUAAUAGCUGGCUUCUUAUCUCACUGUUGUGACACUAACAGAAGGCAAGUCCAAGUUUUGAUUCCAGGUCCCCUUAUCUGAAGUUCCUUGUGUAUUUUUGUACACGUUGCCUUAAGACAGGAAUUUUGUAAAAGUAAGAGUAUUAUCUAUGCUGCCCUUCAAUCUCAAGUUUCUGAACACUACUAUUUAGCAAUAAUUGUGCCACACUGUUAUAGUAUGCCUUGGUUGCUACUAGAUGUGAGGAAAAAGAUAAAUGCUUCUGAUACUACAGCUGGUAAUGCUGUUUAAAAAAAAAAGAAAAGUUCUAACUUGGCUUCUUGAUUAAUGCGAUCAAGUGUCCUUCUAGGUACGAUAACAGACAACCUGAUUCUUUCAGUUCUUCAUAAUCCUGCCCA